AGAACGAACGCUGGCGGCAGGCUUAACACAUGCAAGUCGAACGGUUGUAGCAAUACAGCAGUGGCGCACGGGUGAGUAACGCGUGGAUAUCUGCCUUUUGGUUCGGAAUAACUCCGGGAAACUGGAGCUAAUACCGGAUGGUUCCUACGGGAUAAAGAUUUAUCGCCAAAAGAUGAGUCCGCGUACGAUUAGCUAGUUGGUGAGGUAAUGGCUCACCAAGGCGACGAUCGUUAGCUGGUCUGAGAGGGCGAUCAGCCACACUGGGACUGAGACACGGCCCAGACUCCUACGGGAGGCAGCAGUGGGGAAUAUUGGACAAUGGGGGCAACCCUGAUCCAGCCAUGCCGCGUGAGUGAUGAAGGCCUUCGGGUUGUAAAGCUCUUUUGGCGGGGACGAUGAUGACGGUACCCGCAGAAUAAGCCCCGGCUAACUUCGUG
rnacentral:rRNA from 1 species